rnacentral:snRNA from 1 species
GUCUUCAUAAAACCAAACGACGU